rnacentral:rRNA from 1 species
GGCCUAUCAGCUUGUUGGUGGGGUAAUGACCCACCAAGGCGACGACGGGUAGCCGGCCUGAGAGGGGGACCGGCCACACUGGGACUGAGACACGGCCCAGACUCCUACGGGAGGCAGCAGUGGGGAAUAUUGCACAAAAGGGGAAAGCCUGAUGCAGCGACGCCGCGUGGGGGAUUAAAAGGGUCGGGUUGUAAACCCCUUUCAGCAGGGAAGAAGCGAAAGUGAC